UACAGAGGUUCCAAGCGUUGUUCGGAUUCAUUGGGCGUAAAGGGUGCGUAGGCGGCGCGGUAAGUCGGGUGUGAAAUCUCGGGGCUUAACUCCGAAACUGCAUUCGAUACUGCCGUGCUUGAGGACUGGAGAGGAGACUGGAAUUUACGGUGUAGCGGUGAAAUGCGUAGAUAUCGUAAGGAAGACCAGUGGCGAAGGCGGGUCUCUGGACAGUACCUGACGCUGAGGCACGAAGGCCAGGGGAGCAAACGGG
rnacentral:rRNA from 1 species